rnacentral:miRNA from 2 species
AAUUUAAGGUAUCUGUUUCUGUU